rnacentral:misc_RNA from 1 species
UCGUAACAAGGUUUCCGUAGGUGAACCUGCGGAAGGAUCAUUAAAUAAUCAAUAAUUUUGGCUUGUCCAUUAUUAUCUAUUUACUGUGAACUGUAUUAUUACUUGACGCUUGAGGGAUGCUCCACUGCUAUAAGGAUAGGCGGUGGGGAUGUUAACCGAGUCAUAGUCAAGCUUAGGCUUGGUAUCCUAUUAUUAUUUACCAAAAGAAUUCAGAAUUAAUAUUGUAACAUAGACCUAAAAAAUCUAUAAAACAACUUUUAACAACGGAUCUCUUGGUUCUCGCAUCGAUGAAGAACGUAGCAAAGUGCGAUAACUAGUGUGAAUUGCAUAUUCAGUGAAUCAUCGAGUCUUUGAACGCAACUUGCGCUCAUUGGUAUUCCAAUGAGCACGCCUGUUUCAGUAUCAAAACAAACCCUCUAUCCAGCAUUUUGUUGAAUAGGAAUACUGAGAGUCUCCUGAUCUAUUCUGAUCUCGAACCUCUUGAAAUGUACAAAGGCCUGAUCUUGUUUAAAUGCCUGAACUUUUUUUUAAUAUAAAGAGAAGCUCUUGCGGUAAACUGUGCUGGGGCCUCCCAAAUAAUACUCUUUUUAAAUUUGAUCUGAAAUCAGGCGGGAUUACCCGCUGAACCUAAGCAUAU